CAAUUUUUUGAAAACAACAUUUCCCCCUAAAAGUUAUUCAUUUCUCUUUUAAACUUUUGCUUCCCUCCACUAGGUAGGUUCCAAAUCAACCUCAAUAGAAAAUUAUCGAAAAAAAUAUGCUUUCCAUCAAACCUAACUGCAGUCCGCAAGAACUAUAUGAUUCAAGAACAUCAGACGGCGAUUGCGAGAAUGGGUUGUGACGAUUCAGAAAUAUCAGGCGGCCAUCGAUUCCCAACCGAAUUGUUUCUCCUAUCUCUCUGCGAACACUCAUCAGUUCUCAUUAGGUAUCUCAUCACGAUUAAGCAUAAGGUGGAUUGACUCUCUCAUGAGAUUCCCAUUUUAAUUUCGUGUUAUCAAUGGCAGCCUCUAAGCUUGAUAGAAGAUCAUUAAGAAGUGGGUGAAGUAACUAAAGAGGCCCGAAAGUGACUGGAAAAUAUGUUAGUGUACAUUUUGCUGAUUUAAUCAUUACUCAUUUGAUAACAAGUUUGUUCCUUUAACACUGUGACACAAUCCUGUAAAAGUAUUUAUGGGGAGUCAGUUAUUUUGCUGUUAAAGCUUGUGAUAUUUGCAGAAUUAUAUGGUUAGUAGGCCACAAUAUAGUUCACAUUUUGCAUUCUUAUAAAGAGAAAAAAAUACUUGUUUUGGUGUUCUGUGCUGCAAAUAUUGUAUUGGAAUUAGUUGGAAGAUAUGGUGAGUUGUUGACUUUGGAGUUCUUGAACUGUGAAGAUUCUCCUUAGGAAGAUAUUGCUUGUGACUUUGGAAAACCGGACGCCUUCUUAAGCAAAAUCACCUUCAACUUUUGGCAAAGCUGGUUAUAUUAUUCUUGCAAUUGAUACCAACAGAGAUGCAUCAGAUAAUGGGACAAGGAGGUAUUAAAUGGAAUAUUGGACAACUUGCAACAGGUUAAAUUAAAUGGUGGCAGAGACGCGAAGGACAACACCAGGGGAGCUAAGAAGAGAUGCGGAGGACAAUACCAGGGGAGGCAAUUUCUACUUUUCCAGUUGUAAGUAAGAUGUGAAGACGUUGGUUUGGGUUGCAAGUAUGAAGACAUCGGUUCCGAAAGUUAUUGUAUAUCACUUUCAUCUUUAGAGAUAUGUCUUUGCGUUACUUUGAAACUUUUGCAAUUUUGUGUUACUUUGAAACCUUUUGUAAUUUAUAUUCUUGGGUUAAUUUAUAUUGGUUUUAAUUUAAUAUA